rnacentral:rRNA from 1 species
UACGUAGGGUGCGAGCGUUGUCCGGAUUUAUUGGGCGUAAAGAGCUCGUAGGCGGUUUGUCGCGUCGGCCGUGAAAUCUCCACGCUUAACGUGGAGCGUGCGGUCGAUACGGGCAGACUUGAGUUCGGUAGGGGAGACUGGAAUUCCUGGUGUAGCGGUGAAAUGCGCAGAUAUCAGGAGGAACACCGGUGGCGAAGGCGGGUCUCUGGGCCGAUACUGACGCUGAGGCGCGACAGCGUGGGGAGCAAACAGG